rnacentral:rRNA from 1 species
CUCUGUGACUCCUACGGGAGGCAGCAGUGGGGAAUAUUGCACAAUGGGGGAAACCCUGAUGCAGCCAUGCCGCGUGUGUGAAGAAGGCCUUCGGGUUGUAAAGCACUUUCAGUAGGGAGGAAGGUAGUGUAGUUAACACCUGCAUUAUUUGACGUUACCUACAGAAGAAGCACCGGCUAACUCCGUGCCAGCAGCCGCGGUAAUACGGAGGGUGCGAGCGUUAAUCGGAAUUACUGGGCGUAAAGCGCAUGCAGGCGGCCUGUUAAGUCAGAUGUGAAAGCCCCGGGGCUUAACCUCGGAAUUGCAUUUGAAACUGGCAGGCUAGAGUCUUGUAGAGGGGGUAGAAUUUCAGGUGUAGCGGUGAAAUGCGUAGAGAUCUGAAGGAAUACCAGUGGCGAAGGCGGCCCCCUGGACAAAGACUGACGCUCAGAUGCGAAAGCGUGGGGAGCAAACAGGAUUAGAUACCCUGGAG